rnacentral:rRNA from 1 species
GAGUAGUAGUAGUUAAGAUCUUGAAACUCAAAAAAUUUGGCGGUAUUUUAUCUUAUUAGAGGAACCUGUUUAUUAAUUGAUAUUCCACAACUUUAAUUUACUUUUACUAAAUUACUUGUAUAUCGUUGUCAUGAAUCUAUUAAAAAGUGAUUUUCAAGAUUUUUUAUAAAAUUUAUGUUAGAUCAAGGUGCAGUCUGUAAAAGAAAAAAAUGGGUUACAUUAGUUACUAUGAAUGAAUAUUAUUAUUGGAAAAUAUUGGAAAAGGGAUUUAAAAGUAAAAUAAAAUUAAUAAAGAUUUUUCAUGAAUUUAGAUUCUAGAAUAUG